rnacentral:lncRNA from 1 species
GGGGCAAUGUACUGAGGAUAAUUCCUCUUCCAGUGCCCUUUCUUCUUGCAAUAGAAUCAUUUUGCCUGACUCUAAUCAGACUUGGAUUUCUUGGUUUGAUUGGGUUUAGGUGCCCCAGUACUUUGCACCCUUUUUUUGUUCUUCUUGUUCUUCUUUCCUUUCCUAAAGGGUCGACAUCCAGAAGAAGAUCCUCCCACUACAUUCACCAACUCCUUAUAGAGUU